rnacentral:rRNA from 1 species
GUCGACGGCAGCACGGGGGCAACCCUGGUGGCGAGUGGCGAACGGGUGAGUAAUAUAUCGGAACGUGCCCUGGAGUGGGGGAUAACUAGUCGAAAGACUAGCUAAUACCGCAUACGAUCUACGGAUGAAAGUGGGGGAUCGCAAGACCUCAUGCUCGUGGAGCGGCCGAUAUCUGAUUAGCUAGUUGGUGGGGUAAAAGCCUACCAAGGCAUCGAUCAGUAGCUGGUCUGAGAGGACGACCAGCCACACUGGGACUGAGACACGGCCCAGACUCCUACGGGAGGCAGCAGUGGGGAAUUUUGGACAAUGGGGGCAACCCUGAUCCAGCAAUGCCGCGUGAGUGAAGAAGGCCUUCGGGUUGUAAAGCUCUUUUGUCAGGGAAGAAACGGUCUGGGCUAAUAUCCUGGGCUAAUGACGGUACCUGAAGAAUAAGCACCGGCUAACUACGUGCCAGCAGCCGCGGUAAUACGUAGGGUGCAAGCGUUAAUCGGAAUUACUGGGCGUAAAGCGUGCGCAGGCGGUUGUGCAAGACAGAUGUGAAAUCCCCGGGCUCAACCUGGGAAUUGCAUUUGUGACUGUACGGCUAGAGUGUGUCAGAGGGGGGUAGAAUUCCACGUGUAGCAGUGAAAUGCGUAGAGAUGUGGAGGAAUACCGAUGGCG